UUGAGAGUUUGAUCCUGGCUCAGGACGAACGCUGGCGGCGUGCCUAAUACAUGCAAGUCGAGCGCUCUUUUCCUUCGGGGAAAGGGAGCGGCGGACGGGUGAGUAACACGUGGGUAACCUGCCGUUCAGAUGGGGAUAACGCCUGGAAACGGGUGCUAAUCCCGAAUGGGAUCCCUGCUCGCAUGGGCGGGGAAGGAAAGGCGCUUCUGGCGUCGCUGAACGAUGGGCCCGCGGCGCAUUAGCUGGUUGGUGGGGUAACGGCCUACCAAGGCGACGAUGCGUAGCCGACCUGAGAGGGUGACCGGCCACACUGGGACUGAGACACGGCCCAGACUCCUACGGGAGGCAGCAGUAGGGAAUCUUCCGCAAUGGGCGAAAGCCUGACGGAGCAACGCCGCGUGAAUGAAGACGGUCUUCGGAUUGUAAAGUUCUGUCAUUUGGGACGAGCGACCUUGAGAGGAAAUGCUCGAGGUGAGACGGUACCAAAGGAGGAAGCCCCGGCUAACUACGUGCCAGCAGCCGCGGUAAUACGUAGGGGGCAAGCGUUGUCCGGAAUGACUGGGCGUAAAGCGCGCGCAGGCGGUCUUUCGCGUCUGGGGUGAAAGGUCAGGGCUCAACCCUGACAUGGCCUUGGAAACGGGGAGACUUGAGGGUCGGAGAGGUCAGGGGAAUUCCACGUGUAGCGGUGAAAUGCGUAGAUAUGUGGAGGAAUACCAGUGGCGAAGGCGCCUGACUGGACGAAACCUGACGCUGAGGCGCGAAGGCGUGGGGAGCAAACAGGAUUAGAUACCCUGGUAGUCCACGCGGUAAACGAUGAGUGCUAGGUGUCGGAGGGUACCACCUCCGGUGCCGAAGGAAACCCACUAAGCACUCCGCCUGGGGAGUACGGUCGCAAGACUGAAACUCAAAGGAAUUGACGGGGGCCCGCACAAGCAGUGGAGCAUGUGGUUUAAUUCGAAGCAACGCGAAGAACCUUACCAGGGCUUGACAUCGGCGUGACGGGAUCAGAGAUGAUCCGUCCCUUCGGGGCACGCUAGACAGGUGGUGCAUGGUUGUCGUCAGCUCGUGUCGUGAGAUGUUGGGUUAAGUCCCGCAACGAGCGCAACCCUUGAUCGAUGUUACCAGCGCGUAAAGGCGG
rnacentral:rRNA from 1 species